AUUUGUAAUAAUGGGCAUUACUGUCGGAUGGGACAGUAAGCAUUGCAAGUGGUAGAUAUUUUAAAAUGGAAUAUUUUCAAAAUAAUGUUGUCAUUAUAACGCACCUCUUGAUUGGUCCUAUGUUUGAUGGUAAGGACGAUUUUGGGUUGUUCGUUAAGGAGAUUUCAACAAGCCAGGAUUGCUGCAAGUGACAAAAAGUUAAAUGAUAUUCGCGGCAGUCCGUAAGGAGUUCAG
rnacentral:lncRNA from 1 species